CAAUAGCGUAUACUAAAGUUGUUGCAGUUAAAAAGCUCGUAGUUGAAUUUCUGGUCUUGGACGGCGGUCUACCACAAUUGUGGUACGUACCAACUGUCCGAGUCCAUCCUCGGGGAAAACAUGCCUGUGAUUUAGUUCAUGGGUAUGGGAUCCUCGUCAUUUACUGUGAGCAAAAUAGAGUGUUCAAAGCAGGCUUAUGCCGUUGAAUACAUUAGCAUGGAAUAAUAAGAUAGGACCUUGGUCUAUUUUGUUGGUUUGUACUCCAAGGUAAUGAUUAAUAGGGAUAGUUGGGGGUAUUCGUAUUCAAUUGUCAGAGGUGAAAUUCUUGGAUUUAUGGAAGACGAACUACUGCGAAAGCAUUUUACACGAAGUGUUUUCUUAUUAAUUCAAGUAACCGAAAAGGUAAACGGGGGAAAGUUUACGGGGAAAGUACCGGAAAGUUAACGGAAUUUAACCGGUACUUACCGGUACGUACGU
rnacentral:rRNA from 1 species